GACGAACGCUGGCGGCGUGCCUAAUACAUGCAAGUAGAACGCUGAAGGAGGAGCUUGCUUCUCUGGAUGAGUUGCGAACGGGUGAGUAACGCGUAGGCAACCUGCCUGGUAGCGGGGGAUAACUAUUGGAAACGAUAGCUAAUACCGCAUAAUAUUGACUAUUGCAUGAUAGUCAGUUGAAAGGUGCAACUGCACCACUACCAGAUGGACCUGCGUUGUAUUAGCUAGUUGGUGGGGUAACGGCUCACCAAGGCGACGAUACAUAGCCGACCUGAGAGGGUGAUCGGCCACACUGGGACUGAGACACGGCCCAGACUCCUACGGGAGGCAGCAGUAGGGAAUCUUCGGCAAUGGACGGAAGUCUGACCGAGCAACGCCGCGUGAGUGAAGAAGGUUUUCGGAUCGUAAAGCUCUGUUGUAAGAGAAGAACGAGUGUGAGAGUGGAAAGCUCACACUGUGACGGUAUCUUACCAGAAAGGGACGGCUAACUACGUG
rnacentral:rRNA from 1 species